UAAAGUUGUUUGUUUGUUGGUUAGGGGGCCAUUCUGUGUGGUCAGACGGUGUGUUACGACAGGAUGAUAAAGUUGUUUGUUUGUUGGUUAGGGGGCCAUUCUCUGUGGUCAGACGGUGUGUUACGACAGGAUGAUAAAGUUGUUUGUUUGUUUGUUUGUUUGUUGUUUAGGGGGCCAUUCUGUGUGGUCAGACGGUGUGUUACGGCAGGAUGAUAAAGUUGUUUGUUUGUUGUUUAGGGGGCCAUUCUGUUUGGUCAGACGGUGUGUUACGGCAGGAUGAUAAAGUUUGUUUGUUGUUUAGGGGGCCAUUCUGUUUGGUCAGACGGUGUGUUACGACAGGAUGAUAAAGUUGUUUGUUUGU